GAUUAACGCUAGCGGCAGGCCUAAUACAUGCAAGUCGAACGGGAUUUCGGGUAGCAAUAUCUGAAUGAGAGUGGCGCACGGGUGCGUAACACGUAUGCAAUCUGCCUCUGACUGGGGAAUAGCCUUCCGAAGGGAAGAUUAACACCGCAUAAAAUAAUGAAGUUGCAUCACUUUAUUAUCAAAACUCCGGUGGGCAGAGAUGAGCAUGCGUCCGAUUAGCUAGUUGGGAAGGUAACGGCUCACCAAGGCGACGAUCGGUAGGGGGUCUGAGGGGAGGAUCCCCCACACUGGGACUGAGACACGGACCAGAAUCCUACGGGAGGCAGCAGUAAGGAAUAUUGGACAAUGGUCGCAAGACUGAUCCAGCCAUGCCGCGUGAAGGAUGAAUGCCCUAUGGGUUGUAAUCUUCUUUUAAACGGGAAAAAACCCCUCUACGUGUAGAGGGCUGAUGGUACCGUAAGAAUAAGGAUCGGCUAACUUCGUGCCAGCAGCCGCAGUAA
rnacentral:rRNA from 1 species